ACCUAUAGUUUAGCAUCUUGGCCCUAUCCACGAUAGAUACAAUACGGUAGCGCGACUUAUGAGAAAGGCCUUUCAGCCAUCUUGGAUUUUGUAUGUAAACAAUCUGCAAUAUUUUGCAAUAUCUUUUUUUUUGCUCUUUGUGUGUGGUAUUGUUUUGGUGGUAAUAAGAGCAUUGAAAAGUUGAAAGCUCAAGAGAAUAAAUCGACUUUCGGUGUCGGUCGGUGAUGGAGGUAUUUUUCCCGCGUUUUGCAGUUAGAGACGUCGGUUAGUUAUUCGAUUAUGAUAUAAAUGGAUUUCUAGGAACUUCUUGCGAUUUGUUUUAUCGUCGAUAUUGUUCAGCUCAUAUAUUAUAGAAAAAAAACCCGAAGCUGUAACUGUAAAAAUAACCAUAAGCCACCGAUUAAUUUAUAAUUUACAGUUUACAAUUCUUCCGCAAGUGCAUUUAUUUCACAAUUGUGUAUAUGCGUGACCAUUAUAUUUAGUGAACAACUAAACGAAUGUCAAACAUUUGUACUUUACUUUUGCACGUAUGAAUCUAACGACGAGUAUAUCGACGAAUAAUAUAUGAAUCCGUUCAAUCCGGUGACAAAAGGACUAAAAUCAAAUAAGAAUAGUCCGAAAAUGAUAUUAUGCAUUAUAUUUAAUAAAUAUCCCACGCCACUGACAUUAAUUUAUACAUUUCAUUGAACAAUAUUCUAAAAUAGGAAAAAAAGUCACUUGUCCAAAAAAGUUACUCCUGUACGCGCGUCGGUGUCUCAGACCGAAGGGGGUGAAAAAGUGACAUACGUCCCCUUCGUACCAACUUAUACGAUACGCUAAACGAUUAUGAACAACGAAUGACGAAGU